AAAAGUGCAAAUGCCGAAUUUACAGUUUACAGCUUCCCGAAUAAAUAGAAAAUUAAAGCGGAAAAGUGUAUUUCAAAAACCAUUUACUGCGUACGAAAGACUUGUAUAAUGAAUAAACAGUCUUCGUAUACUUAGUCUGUAUAUAACAUAACCGUAUAACCCGUGGGUAUGAUAAAGCGGCCACAUAACCGUAAAAGUUAAAGUUACCGUAACUGUUAUAAAAGCUAAAAAGAAUUGUGCUAAAAUGUCAGACGGAAAUCAGGCAAAUGAUGGUGCAAAUAUUGGAAAUGGUAGUUGAAGCGAAUCAUUUCAAGACUCUAAUUUUGACAGAAUUUCUCCUAUAACAAUGACAACACAUGAUUCAAGUUUAUGUUCUGAAUAUGAAAACAUUUUCGAUGUCAGUGGAGAUCGUACAGGAAACACGACAGCUAGUUUCAGGCGAUUAUUGGAAUGUGAUAGUCAAUCAAGUGGGAAUGAAAAUAAUUCUACUGUUAAAUCAUAAAUUAUAUACUUUUAUAAUUACAAAUAUAUUUUAAUUUUUAUAACUCGUAUAAUUGCAAAUAUUUUCCUUUAAAAAAUCGCUGGUUCAAAUUUAUAUUGAUUUACAGUAUAUCAUCAAUUUUAUUAAAUAGACAUUUUGCUUCAUUACAGACUCAUAUAUCAAUUUAUUUAAUUUAAUACAGCUCUGCACAAGUUUACUCAAUAUAAACCCAUUAAAACAUUCACUGAGACUUGUCGAGUACAUUAGUUAAAAAUUGCAAGUUUUGCUUGGUAUCGGUCAUUUUGGUCAAAAUUUCAAAUCAGCUAAUUAAAAUGAUAACACAAUGAAUUAUAUUUUAAUUUAUGUAUCAGCUCUUGGCAUUUUAAUAAAUAGUAAAUAUCAAUAACUUUUUGAGUAAAUAAAAAUAGUAAAUAUUCUAAUGGAUUUAUAUUGAGUAAACUUUUUUUAAACAAGACAUUUUGCAUUAUUAUAAAUAACGACUAUUAAUUUGUUUAAUUAGAUAGCAUGAUAUGAUGAAAUAAAAGUUAAUGACUUGGUUUGGUUAAGUGGAAAGAAGUGUAGGUAGUGUCAUGUACGCGUAUCACAUAAUCUUUGUAGAGAUUGUAGAGUAGGGCUGUUUUGAAUGAAGCAUAUUAGAAUACUAAUGAAAUAGAACUAUUAGCAAAUAGAAUUAUUCGCAAAAAUUAUGAAUAAAUGUAGUUCUUUCAUUGUAAGC